AAGAGGAUUCGAUGAGUUUGAUCGUGGCUCAGGACGAACGCUGGCGGCGUGCCUAAUACAUGCAAGUCGAGCGCGGGAAGCGAGCUGAUCCCUUCGGGGUGACGCUCGUGGAACGAGCGGCGGACGGGUGAGUAACACGUGGGCAACCUGCCUGUAAGAUCGGGAUAACUCCGGGAAACCGGGGCUAAUACCGGGUAAUACUUUCUUUCGCAUGAAGGAAAGUUGAAAGAUGGCUUCUCGCUAUCACUUACAGAUGGGCCCGCGGCGCAUUAGCUAGUUGGUGAGGUAACGGCUCACCAAGGCGACGAUGCGUAGCCGACCUGAGAGGGUGAUCGGCCACACUGGGACUGAGACACGGCCCAGACUCCUACGGGAGGCAGCAGUAGGGAAUCUUCCGCAAUGGACGAAAGUCUGACGGAGCAACGCCGCGUGAACGAUGAAGGUCUUCGGAUCGUAAAGUUCUGUUGUUAGGGAAGAACAAGUACCGUGCGAAUAGAGCGGUAC
rnacentral:rRNA from 1 species